UGGAAAAUUAAUAAAGCAUUACGCAACAAAAGCUUGGGAGCAAAGUUUAUGGAUGACGACGUCAGUACAACAUCCCCCCGCACUCUCUACAAAGAGGGGCCACGGGGAUGCUGUUUUACCAAGUUAUCCAAACCCUUCUCUCUCUCUCUCUCUCUCUGCCUCGCAGUGUCGGUCUGCUUUUGUUGGGUUCUGUUUGAAAGAAGAAAAAGAUGUUGGAGUUGUUUCUAUUGGGUUGUACGGGAGUCGUCGUAUUCCUUCACGGAGCCAAUUUCUUCUUCCACGCUCUCUCUCAACACAUGGCUGUUCGAUCUCUCAGCUUCUUGGGAUUUGUUGGAUGGUGAAGAUGAUGGGCUGCGUGGACGCGGACGGAACGCCUGUUUCCGGGCGCCGGAGAUAGCUUGCUUGCACCAACGUUCACGCUUGUAAAUAUUCUUUUUUUAUUUUUUUUUUAUUUUGUUGUGUCACAACUACGUGAAAGGAUUAUCUAUCAGAAAACAAUUACGUGAAAAGGAGAGGAGACGGAAUUGUACAAGAUUGAAAUUCUUGUUUCUCCUUAACAUUAAGCUUAUUUUCUGAGUGAGGAUUGAAUGUGAUUUUGUUUUGUCUCUGAGACAAUGGAGAGGUGUCGGUGGUUUAAUCAAUUCAAAACAACGGUCGGUCACUGAUUGUUGUUUCUCUUGCGGAA